CAAGCGUUAUUCGGAAUUAUUGGGCGUAAAGGGCGCGUAGGCGGCCUGGCAAGUGGAUGGUGAAAUCCCUCGGCUUAACCGAGGAACUGCCAUCCAGACUGCUUGGCUUGAGACCGGGAGAGGUGAGUGGAAUUCCUGGUGUAGCGGUGAAAUGCGCAGAUAUCAGGAGGAACACCAAUUGCGAAGGCAGCUCGCUGGGACGUUACUGACGCUGAGACGCGAAAGCGUGGGGAGCAAACAGG
rnacentral:rRNA from 1 species